GCUGGGUGUGGUGGCGCACACCUGUAGUCCCAGCUACUUGGGAGGCUGAGGCAGGAGAAUCACUUGAACCCAGGAGGCGGAGGUUGCAGUGAGCUGAGAUUGCGCCACUGCACUCCAGCCUGGGAAACAGAGCGGAACUCUGUCUCAA
rnacentral:sRNA from 1 species